UUGUCAACUUGGCUUUAAAAGGAAAGCAGCAAUGUUUUCCUAAGGAUGCCUUGGGCUUGAGGCCCCUUUCAGCAGCUCGGGACACUUGGACUGCAAGAAUCCAAGGACAGCGUUUUGAACAGAUUUAAAUUACAGGAUUUCAUUAGUGUUUGAUCCUAAGCAGGAGCAACAAAAGAGCACAUUGUACCAGCCAGACACCGACCAAGCGUUUCUUUUUUUAAAUGGGCAAUGUGCACAAAGGGUUACCAUCCGACGGCAGAAAAAAAAAAUCAUAAAAAGGGGGCCUCUCGCUGCAGCCACAGAGGAGGUACCAUAUAACCAUAAGGAGAGUAAAUUUAGAACGGGAGGCCUACUGCAUUCGAGGGAUUCCAGACAUUCCAGCCUUCGCAUUGCUGCGGCGCUGGAUGGGGCUGCCAUCUUAAAUAGCCUCCGCCGGUAAACAAGGUCAUGACAUCACAUAGGCCGAGUCGACAAUGUCAAGGACAGGCUUGCAGGAAUGCUGAAAUUUAUUCCUAAAGGAGGGAACCGAGUGAGAGCAGAACCACUCGACACGCAGAAUUUCAGGAGCAAUACAAAAGUGAAGGGGGAAAAAAAGUGUUUACAAAAUCUGAAGUGCUUGGCAAUACAAUGUUUUUCUGGACAAGAAACACCGCAUUGUAUUCAUGUGGAGAUAUUUCAUUUAAAAGCAACAGCAGAAUUGAAAGUCUUCCAAAAAAGCCAAUAUCGUCGUUACAAAUGUUUGACUUUCGUAAGUGGCUGAUAGGAGGGGAAAAGAAAGAGUGAUUGGACUCCAGCACGUUUAGCCACGAGCAGUGAGAGGAACUAAUGAACAACAUCAUUACUUUAUUGAAGGAGAUGAAGGAGCUGCUUUAGAUCAAUGGCAGCAGCUUAAAACGUGGUUCGGGAAAUAAAUUCACCUUCUCUCGAUUUACCUGCUAGCUUGACAAGCUAAGGAAGUGCGCAGCGAAGAUGGAGCAUGAGAAAAAGCAGUGCAAAAGCUAACUGAGGUGAUGCCGUCAGCCCGCAUCCAAGGGAGUGUGUGAACAGAGAUUCUUGGACGCACUCCUAGUCAAAUAUAAACCAGGAACACUCCUCGCUCCAGCCUCUCUUGCAAAUCCGCUGUCGAGUGUGCGCAAAGACCCACCUGUUUCAAAGUCAAAUCUAUUCCCAAGAACCAAACACUGGCUUGUUUAUGGCUUGGUCACUAUUGCACUGUGAUCUCUAAUUUUGUUUCUGUUGUAGAGCAAGAGAAAUGUACCACCCACGGGUAAUUCUUUUCAUUCUGUUGACGGCUCCUAGAAACCUCUGCCGCAAAUUCACUUUUGCUGCUCCCCCUCCCCCAAAUUUUCCAAAGAUGAGUUUGUUCUACAACAAAUAUUUCUAGCUCUGUUCUGAACCGUUCCAGCCACCACUCCAGCGAUGUACAACCUGGGGGUAAGUACUCUGCAACAAUACGCAGGAAAGCUCAGUAUCUUUCCUAUAUCACACUGAUCAGAUUAACCACUCUCUCGUGGCCAAAAGACAACUCGAUCACCACUUCAUCCAUCCACUUCUCCAUCACUUUGUUUCCUUUAAGCCACGAGCAAACUUAUGACAGGGUAACUGCCAGGGAUGCUCUGAUUUGGAGGAAAGUGUGUGUGCAUGUGUAUAUGCACAUACUCUUCUGGUCCUUCUCAUCUUCCUUAUAGCCUGUCACGUGCUCAGACACUCAAAUCCCCAAAUCACUAUACAGAGCUGACAGAUACAGCUCUCCAUAUACAGAAGCAGCUGAGGUUUGGAGGAAGCUGUGCUGUUUUUAUUCUUCUUCUUAUUACUACUACUACUAUUAUUAUUAACCACUACCUUGCUAUAAGAAUCUGAUCCAAAGCCAAUAAAAGUAAACUGAA